GGCCACUUCGGUGGUACUCGAGCGGCGAACGGGUGAGUAACACGUGAGUAAUCUGCCCUUGGCUUCGGGAUAGCCACCGGAAACGGUGAUUAAUACCGGAUAUGACCGUCUGCCGCAUGGUGGGUGGUGGAAAGUUUUUUCGGCCAGGGAUGUGCUCGCGGCCUAUCAGCUUGAUGGUGAGGUAAUGGCUCACCAUGGCUUCGACGGGUAGCCGGCCUGAGAGGGUGACCGGUCACACUGGGACUGAGACACGGCCCAGACUCCUACGGGAGGCAGCAGUGGGGAAUAUUGGACAAUGGGCGGAAGCCUGAUCCAGCAACGCCGCGUGAGGGAUGACGGCCUUCGGGUUGUAAACCUCUUUCAGCAGGGACGAAGCGCAAGUGACGGUACCUGCAGAAGAAGCACCGGCCAACUACGUGCCAGCAGCCGCGGUAAUACGUAGGGUGCGAGCGUUGUCCGGAAUUAUUGGGCGUAAAGGGCUCGUAGGCGGUUUGUCGCGUCGGGAGUGAAAACCAGGUGCUUAACACCUGGCUUGCUUUCGAUACGGGCAGACUAGAGGUAUUCAGGGGAGAACGGAAUUCCUGGUGUAGCGGUGAAAUGCGCAGAUAUCAGGAGGAACACCGGUGGCGAAGGCGGUUCUCUGGGAAUGACCUGACGCUGAGGAGCGAAAGUGUGGGGAGCGAACAGGAUUAGAUACCCUGGUAGUCCACACCGUA
rnacentral:rRNA from 1 species